rnacentral:rRNA from 1 species
GGAUGAACGCUGGCGGCGUGCUUAACACAUGCAAGUCGAACGAUGAAGCCCAGCUUGCUGGGUGGAUUAGUGGCGAACGGGUGAGUAACACGUGAGUAACCUGCCCUUGACUCUGGGAUAAGCCUGGGAAACUGGGUCUAAUACUGGAUAUGACUUCUCAUCGCAUGGUGGGGGGUGGAAAGAUUUAUUGGUCUUGGAUGGACUCGCGGCCUAUCAGCUUGUUGGUGAGGUAAUGGCUCACCAAGGCGACGACGGGUAGCCGGCCUGAGAGGGUGACCGGCCACACUGGGACUGAGACACGGCCCAGACUCCUACGGGAGGCAGCAGCGGGGAAUAUUGCACAAUGGGCGCAAGCCUGAUGCAGCGACGCCGCGUGAGGGAUGACGGCCUUCGGGUUGUAAACCUCUUUCAGUAGGGAAGAAGCGAGAGUGACGGUACCUGCAGAAGAAGCGCCGGCUAACUACGUG